AAUAGGAAAUCCUUUCACAGCAUUAAUGUUCAGGUGAACAUAACUUUUUGAUAUUGUCCAUUGACGAACACUCUGCAUUGCCAGUGAUGUGCAUUGAUUGGUGUAAUAUUCCUCAUCUUAUGAUUUCAGAUGGUCUGCAAUGCUGACUGUGUGAUCAGCAAUGUUGUGGCAAAAUGGCCUGGCUCAGUCCAUGACUCCAGAAUCUUUCGGGCCUCUGAAAUCUAUCAGUGCCUAUCACAAGGUGAAUUCUCUGGUGUGUUGCUGGGAGACAGGGGGUAUGGCUGCCAGCCUUUUCUCCUGACACCUUUCACAGACCCCCAGGAAGCACAGCAGGCCUACAACCAUGCCCAUGCCAGGACCAGGGCCAGAGUUGAAAUGACCUUUGGCCUCCUGAAGGCACGCUUUCACUGCCUUCACAAAUUAAGGGUCAGCCCUGUUAGGGCAUGUGAUAUUACUGUGGCUUGUGCUGUCCUCCACAAUGUGGCCUGCCUGAGGAAGGAGAGGGCCCCCAGAGUGCCACCAGCCAUGGACUGGGACAAUCCGGCAAUCUUCCCUGAUGACGACAGUGGUCGGCUGCUGAGGGACCAAUAUGUGUUGAAUUAUUUUAGUUAGUAUGUGUGCUUUCAAUUUUGGUUAAAUAUGUCCUGCGGUGGCAGAGGAAUUUGGUUUUUUUUGGGUUCGUUUUUUGGCGAAUUUGGCCUCUUAUGAUGUUUGUGCGGUAUACUGUGUGUAAUACAAGGCUGCAGGGAGGCUACUGCAUCCAUUCAUUUGUCUGUUCAGUUGAUGUGUAUGGAUUUGUCCUGCAUUUAUUUUAGUGUGCAGACAUGCAGGGUGUGUUAUAUACAGACCUUUGAAUGUGUAUGUAUCAUUUUGUAUAAUAUGCUUGGAUUCUGUGCUUUCCAUCUUGUAGAGUCACUGUGACUUCAGUUUCGAAAGGAGCUGAUGGUUUACCUGCUUUGUUUUGUCCUUAUUCAAUAAAGGAACAUAAUGUUACACAUUGUGUUUUUAUAUUCAUAUGGAAUGUGUAUUUGUUUAUAUGACAGAGUACUAGGGCCACACUGAAGAAAAAGGAUAAAGUCAUAAAUUUAUGAGGCUGGUUCUUUCUGCAGAAAAGCUACAUAUUGUUUUUACAGUUUUGAUACUUAAUAUUCUGGCACAUCAGCAUGUCUUUGUUUAUGAAACCAUACUGAAGUACAAUUUCACGAAAUGCCCCACAUCUGUCCUCCUUUAAAACAACUGGUUACAAUA